GAUGAACGCUGGCGGCGUGCCUAAUACAUGCAAGUCGAGCGAACAGACGAGGAGCUUGCUCCUCUGACGUUAGCGGCGGACGGGUGAGUAACACGUGGAUAACCUACCUAUAAGACUGGGAUAACUUCGGGAAACCGGAGCUAAUACCGGAUAAUAUAUUGAACCGCAUGGUUCAAUAGUGAAAGACGGUUUUGCUGUCACUUAUAGCUGGAUCCGCGCCGCAUUAGCUAGUUGGUAAGGUAACGGCUUACCAAGGCAACGAUGCGUAGCCGACCUGAGAGGGUGAUCGGCAACACUGGAACUGAGACACGGUCCAGACUCCUACGGGAGGCAGCAGUAGGGAAUAUUCCGCAAUGGGCGAAAGCUUGACGGAGCAACGCCGCGUGAGUGAUGAAGGUCUUCGGAUCGUAAAACUCUGUUAUUAGGGAAGAACAAAUGUGUAAGUAACUAUGCACGUCUUGACGGUACCUAAUCAGAAAGCCACGGCUAACUACGUG
rnacentral:rRNA from 1 species